GGAAAUUAGUUUAAUAAAAACUUUUAACUUCGACUUAAACAAUUUUGGUUAAAUCCAAAAUCUCCA
rnacentral:tRNA from 1 species